GGCGGCGUGCUUAACACAUGCAAGUCGAACGGAAAGGCCCUGCUUUUGUGGGGUGCUCGAGUGGCGAACGGGUGAGUAACACGUGAGUAACCUGCCCUUGACUUUGGGAUAACUUCAGGAAACUGGGGCUAAUACCGGAUAGGAGCUCCUGCUGCAUGGUGGGGGUUGGAAAGUUUCGGCGGUUGGGGAUGGACUCGCGGCUUAUCAGCUUGUUGGUGGGGUAGUGGCUUACCAAGGCUUUGACGGGUAGCCGGCCUGAGAGGGUGACCGGCCACAUUGGGACUGAGAUACGGCCCAGACUCCUACGGGAGGCAGCAGUGGGGAAUAUUGCACAAUGGGCGGAAGCCUGAUGCAGCAACGCCGCGUGCGGGAUGACGGCCUUCGGGUUGUAAACCGCUUUCGCCUGUGACGAAGCGUGAGUGACGGUAAUGGGUAAAGAAGCACCGGCUAACUACGUGCCAGCAGCCGCGGUGAUACGUAGGGUGCGAGCGUUGUCCGGAUUUAUUGGGCGUAAAGGGCUCGUAGGUGGUUGAUCGCGUCGGAAGUGUAAUCUUGGGGCUUAACCCUGAGCGUGCUUUCGAUACGGGUUGACUUGAGGAAGGUAGGGGAGAAUGGAAUUCCUGGUGGAGCGGUGGAAUGCGCAGAUAUCAGGAGGAACACCAGUGGCGAAGGCGGUUCUCUGGGCCUUUCCUGACGCUGAGGAGCGAAAGCGUGGGGAGCGAACAGGCUUAGAUACCCUGGUAGUCCACGCUGUAAACGGUGGGUACUAGGUGUGGGGUCCAUUCCACGGGUUCCGUGCCGUAGCUAACGCUUUAAGUACCCCGCCUGGGGAGUACGGCCGCAAGGCUAAAACUCAAAGGAAUUGACGGGGCCCCGCACAAGCGGCGGAGCAUGCGGAUUAAUUCGAUGCAACGCGUAGAACCUUACCUGGGUUUGACAUGGAUCGGGAGUGCUCAGAGAUGGGUGUGCCUCUUUUGGGGUCGGUUCACAGGUGGUGCAUGGCUGUCGUCAGCUCGUGUCGUGAGAUGUUGGGUUAAGUCCCGCAACGAGCGCAACCCUUGUUCACUGUUGCCAGCACGUUAUGGUGGGGACUCAGUGGAGACCGCCGGGGUCAACUCGGAGGAAGGUGGGGAUGACGUCAAGUCAUCAUGCCCCUUAUGUCCAGGGCUUCACGCAUGCUACAAUGGCUGGUACAGAGAGUGGCGAGCCUGUGAGGGUGAGCGAAUCUCGGAAAGCCGGUCUCAGUUCGGAUUGGGGUCUGCAACUCGACCUCAUGAAGUCGGAGUCGCUAGUAAUCGCAGAUCAGCAACGCUGCGGUGAAUACGUUCCCGGGGCUUGUACACACCGCCCGUCAAGUCAUGAAAGUUGGUAACACCCGAAGCCGGUGGCCUAACCGUUGUGGGGGAGCCGUCGAAGGUGGGACUGGUGAUUAGGACUAA
rnacentral:rRNA from 1 species